GCCAGCAUGGUAUAGUGGUUUGAGCAUUUGGACUGGGACUCUGGGUGACCAAGGUUUAAAUCCUUGUUCAGCCA